AUUUGUGUGUUGGGCUUCUUAGACGCGCUACAUAUAUAACUUAAAGGCUUUGAUCAUUAAGUCCAUGAUGCUUCCUUCCAACAUGUUGAUAACCAUGCUAAUUGAAGGUCUAUUUUCUGGCUUUAUCUGAACUGGCAAAUGGUCAAAACAAGUUUAAUAAUAAGGAGCACACAUAUAGCUUGAUAUCUGAAUUGCUUCCCUUGCUGAAACAUAUCUAUCAGAACCAAUUAAAUGAACUG